CUGCUCCAGUGUGGGUCCCUUCCAUGGGCUGCAGUCCUUCAGGAACAGACUGAUCCAGCAUGGGUCCCCUGUGGGUUUACAAGUCCCAGCAGCAGACCU